rnacentral:rRNA from 1 species
AGUAACGCGUGAGCAAUCUGCCUUCGGAUGGGGGAUAACAGCCGGAAACGGCUGCUAAUACCGCAUAACACAAGGGAUUCGCAUGUUUCCCUUGUCAAAGAUUUAUCGUCCGAAGAUGAGCUCGCGUCUGAUUAGCUAGUUGGCGGGGUAACGGCCCACCAAGGCGACGAUCAGUAGCCGGACUGAGAGGUUGAACGGCCACAUUGGGACUGAGACACGGCCCAGACUCCUACGGGAGGCAGCAG